GUAGGGAAUAUUGGACAAUGGGCGAAAGCCUGAUCCAGCCAUGCCGCGUGAUAGAUGAAGGCCCUCUGGGUUGUAAAUAUCUUUUAUCUGGGAAGAAACUCCUCUAUUCUUAGAGGCCUGACGGUACCAGAGGAAUAAGCACCGGCUAACUCCGUGCCAGCAGCCGCGGUAAUACGGAGGGUGCAAGCGUUAUCCGGAUUCACUGGGUUUAAAGGGUGCGUAGGCGGGUUGAUAAGUCAGUGGUGAAAGCUCCGGGCUUAACUUGGAAACUGCCAUUGAUACUGUCAAUCUUGAAUGUCGUAGAGGUAAGCGGAAUGUUGCAUGUAGCGGUGAAAUGCUUAGAUAUGUUACAGAACACCAAUUGCGAAGGCAGCUUACUAUGCGAUAAUUGACGCUGAGGCACGAAAGCGUGGGGAGCAAACAGGAUUAGAAACCCUGGUAGUCC
rnacentral:rRNA from 1 species